CCGGUCGUUCUACCGUUGACUGUUGCCAUUAAGCCCCCACCAGCAGCCUGAAGACAAAAACUAACCACAUCUCCAAACACAAAAAAACUAGUCCCAAAACGAGAGGAAACGAUCAUAAGGGAUUCACACCUCAUAACAUGCAGUAGCCUACCAAACAGCAUAUAAAUAGUUGCGGCAUACAAGGCAGGCGCAAUUAACAGCAGCACUGCUUGUAUGACGUACGGCGCUAUCUCCUUUGUGUUAGACGAUGAUACUGCUCUUGCAAUGUAGCCCACAAUUUCCAUUAUGCAACCAAAGAAUAAUGGGAUGAAGGCAGAAAACGUCGACCUUACUGUCAGUUUCUUAUAAUUCUCCCCCAAACUAAUGGCUGUGAUAGACUCGCACUUAUCAACAGGAGUAUCAAAGGGAUUGUCGACUUCUGGCUUAGAAGCCUUUCUUGCAUCCCAUACUACCUGGAAAGAGUAUAUUAGUGUUGUAACUAUGAAAAGAACAGUUAGUGCUAUUGCAGCUCCCUUACUAGGUGUGUAUCGAUAAAGCUCCCAUUCAGAGCCACUAGAGUCAUUUGACAUUGUCGAAAAUAUACUCGAUUUCCAAUUGCUUACUUGAGAUAUCAGGUGUUACAUCAUCCGCCAAUUAAUGAAGCACACAUUUUAUUUCAUCCUUUUAUAAAAUUUUAAAGAAUCGUUUUCUUUUAUUUUUUUUGGUUAUAUAAUCUAUAAUUGAAAAAUUACAAACCAUCAAAGCUUGUUAACACUACUAUCUAAUGAUGACGUGCACAUGGA
rnacentral:lncRNA from 1 species